CGGACGCCCGGGCGGGGCUGUGCGAGGGGCGGGCCUGCUGGCGGCCCUGGAGCGCGGCGCUGAUGGCGGGGCCGGUGAAGGACCGCGAGGCCUUCCAGAGGCUCAACUUCCUGUACCAGGCCGCCCAUUGUGUCCUUGCCCAGGACCCCGAGAACCAGGCGCUAGCGAGGUUUUACUGCCACACUGAGAGGACCAUCGCGAAGCGGCUCGUCUUGCGGCGGGACCCCUCGGUGAAGAGGACUCUCUGUCGAGGCUGCUCUUCCCUCCUCGUCCCGGGCCUCACCUGCACCCAGCGCCAGAGACGCUGCAGGGGACAGCGCUGGACAGUACAGACCUGUCUAACAUGCCAGCGCAGCCAACGCUUCCUCAAUGAUCCCGGGCAUUUACUCUGGGGAGACCGGCCUGAGGCCCAGCUCGGGAACCAAGCAGGUGAGAGAUGAGGGAGAAAAUGGAGGACACCUCAGAGGAUCGGGAUAACGGAGAACAUAGAGUGAAGAGGACACAUGGACAGAGAGUCUUUGCCCAAGCGUGAACUUACUGUGCCAUCCUGACGAAAGCCUGUCAUUUAGGGAUCCUGUCCUGCUUUGUGGUGGGUCAUUCUGAAAUUACCCCUGUUUCAGCCCAGUGGAAUUUCACCAAAACUGUGGGAUUGAAACUGUCUCUUGAAGAGGAACUGUGGGGAAAAUGAACAAACCAACAUUCAGUCUCAGUUGGAGUAUGCUUUUAGGCUUUCCCAGAUUAUGGAGUAUAAAGCUAAUUGUUGAUUCAUUCCUUCUUGGCUUUACAGUUGUAGAAAGAGAUCUGGCGUAAAAUCCCUAUAACUGGGACGGGCUGAGUCCAGGCUCUGACAUUGGCUAGCUGUGCGACUGGGCAAUAUUUUGUUUCACUCUCUAGCCUCAUUUUCAAUAGGUAAUACAUGCAAGUAGUAGAAAAUUCAGAAAGUAUGCAAAUAGAUAGGGGAAUUAAUUUUCCAGCUACCCAUUUUAUCUCCCAGAGGAGAAUACUGUAAAAACAUUCUGGAUGUUUUUGUAAAUAUAUAUAAACAAGUUGGUCUUGAUUUAAAUUUUUCUUUCAUACAAAUGGUAGAAUACUAUUAUAUGGGGCAUAUACUGCUUUUUAUUUAGCAAAAAAGCUUAGUGCUCUUACCAUUUUAGUAUCUAACAUCAGCUUCAUUAUUUUUCAUCACUGCAUAAUAUUCUAUUAUGUGGAUAUACCAUAAUUUAUUUAGUCUGCUCCCUGUUGAGUAUUUACAUUCUUUGAAGUGUUCUGCCCAUAAACAAUAUGUAAAGCUUAGGUAUGGCUAUACAUCCAGCAUGAAUGAGUCUUCAAAACAUACUAUUCAGUGACUGGGUGCGGUGGCUCACGCCUGUAAUCCCAACACUUUGGGAAGCUGAGGCUGGUGGAUCACCUGAGGUCAGGAGUUCGAGACCCACCUGACCAACAUG